rnacentral:rRNA from 1 species
GUGGAUUAGAUACCCUGGUAGUCCACGCCCUAAACGAUGUCAACUAGGUGUUGGGGAAGGAGACUUCUUUAGUACCGCAGCUAACGCGUGAAGUUGACCGCCUGGGGAGUACGGUCGCAAGAUUAAAACUCAAAGGAAUUGACGGGGACCCGCACAAGCGGUGGAUUAUGUGGAUUAAUUCGAUGCAACGCGAAAAACCUUACCUACCCUUGACAUGCCAGGAAGAUUCCAGAGAUGGGAUUGUGCCCGAAAGGGAACCUGGACACAGGUGCUGCACGGCCGUCGACAACU